rnacentral:rRNA from 1 species
UACGUAGGGUGCAAGCGUUAAUCGGAAUUACUGGGCGUAAAGCGUGCGCAGGCGGUGAUGUAAGACAGGUGUGAAAUCCCCGGGCUUAACCUGGGAACUGCAUUUGUGACUGCAUCGCUGGAGUGCGGCAGAGGGGGAUGGAAUUCCGCGUGUAGCAGUGAAAUGCGUAGAGAUGCGGAGGAACACCGAUGGCGAAGGCAGCCCCCUGGGUUGACACUGACGCUCAGGCACGAAAGCGUGGGGAGCAAACAGG